UGAUAGAUAGGCAUGCGUUCCAUUAGGCAGUUGGCGGGGUAACGGCCCACCAAACCGACGAUGGAUAGGGGUUCUGAGAGGAAGGUCCCCCACAUUGGUACUGAGACACGGACCAAACUCCUACGGGAGGCAGCAGUGAGGAAUAUUGGUCAAUGGGCGUAAGCCUGAACCAGCCAAGUCGCGUGAGGGAUGAAGGUUCUAUGGAUCGUAAACCUCUUUUAUAAGGGAAUAAAGUGUGGGACGUGUCCUAUUUUGUAUGUACCUUAUGAAUAAGGAUCGGCUAACUCCGUGCCAGCAGCCGCGGUAAUACGGAGGAUCCGAGCGUUAUCCGGAUUUAUUGGGUUUAAAGGGUGCGUAGGCGGCCUUUUAAGUCAGCGGUGAAAGUCUGUGGCUCAACCAUAGAAUUGCCGUUGAAACUGGGGGGCUUGAGUAUGUUUGAGGCAGGCGGAAUGCGUGGUGUAGCGGUGAAAUGCUUAGAUAUCACGCAGAACCCCGAUUGCGAAGGCAGCCUGCCAAGCCAUGACUGACGCUGAUGCACGAAAGCGUGGGGAUCAAACAGGAUUAGAUACCCUGGUAGUCCACGCAGUAAACGAUGAUCACUAGCUGUUUGCGAUACAGUGUAA
rnacentral:rRNA from 1 species